GACGGAGGAUGCAAGCGUUAUCCGGAAUGAUUGGGCGUAAAGCGUCCGCAGGUGGCAGUUCAAGUCUGCUGUCAAAGACCGGGGCUUAACUUCGGAAAGGCAGUGGAAACUGAACAGCUAGAGUAUGGUAGGGGCAGAGGGAAUUCCUGGUGUAGCGGUGAAAUGCGUAGAUAUUGGGAAGAACACCGGUGGCGAAGGCGGCUCACUGGCUCGUAACUGACGCUCAAGCGCGACAGCGUGGGGAUCAAACAGG
rnacentral:rRNA from 1 species